ACUACGGGGGGCAGCAGUGAGGAAUAUUGGUCAAUGGGCGGAAGCCUGAACCAGCCAAGUAGCGUGCAGGAUGACGGCCCUACGGGUUGUAAACUGCUUUUAUACGGGAAUAACGCGCCUUACGUGUAGGGCUUUGCAUGUACCGUAUGAAUAAGGACCGGCUAAUUCCGUGCCCGCAGCCGCGGUAAUACGGAAGGUCCGGGCGUUAUCCGGCUUUCUGGGGUUGAACGGGAGCGUCGGCCGCAUGUCAAGCGUGCUGUGACAUGUCCGGGCUCCACCCGGGCCUUGCAGCGCGAACUGGCGUGCUUGAGUCCGCGGAAAGCAGGCGGAAUUCGUCGUGUAGCGGUGAAAUGCUUAGAUAUGACGAAGAACCCCGAUUGCGAAGGCAGCUUGCUGCAGCGGAACUGACGCUGAUGCUCGAAAGCGCGGGUAUCGAACAGGAUUAGAUACCCGUGUAGUC
rnacentral:rRNA from 1 species